rnacentral:tRNA from 1 species
GAGAUUAUAGUUAAAAAUAACAUUUAAUUUGCAAUUAAAAAUUACCAUUAAAGGUUUUUCUCA